AAAUGAGACAGAAAGUAGGAAUCACGGUGGGACAAUCUGUGGAAGAAAAGUAUAGUUGAUGAGUUCAAUGGUAUCUCUCAAUUUCCUGAGACACAACAAUAUUGAAAUAACGCCAAUUCAUAACCCUACAGUGGCCCCUAAGUGUUCAGAUGAAAAGAAGAGCCAAACAAUGUUGCAAACUUCGUUAUCUUAUUUUAAGAAAUGGCCACAACCACCCCAAACUUCAGCAAUCAUCACCUUGAUCAGGCAACAGCUAUCAACACUAAGGCAAGACCCUGUACCUGCAAAAAAGACUAUAAGUCAUGAAUUUUCAGAUGAUGAUUAGCAUUUUAGCAAUGAAGUGUUUUUAAUUAAGGUGAUUCAUCAAGAACACUUCUUGAACCAGCUGUGGUUGAUUAAGGAUGCUUACCUGCAUUCAUUUUAAGAAUUGUUGGACGUGUCACAAUCCAAUAUUGAACACGUUUCAUGUAAAUAUGCGGGGGGGAAGCAGAACUAAAUGGAAGUAGAAAAUAAAAAAUCUUCAGCACUAACCUAGAAGACUUUGAUCAUUACUUCAAGAAGAUGAGAUAUUGCCAUAUGUGAUGAUGAGCUUUGUGUUCAGGACUGCUGAAGCUAUCGAUCAUGAUUCCA